AUUGAACGCUGGCGGCAUGCUUUACACAUGCAAGUCGAACGGUAACAGGCCGCAAGGUGCUGACGAGUGGCGAACGGGUGAGUAAUGCAUCGGAACGUGCCCAGUCGUGGGGGAUAACGCAGCGAAAGCUGUGCUAAUACCGCAUACGAUCUAUGGAUGAAAGCGGGGGACCGUAAGGCCUCGAGCGAUUGGAGCGGCCGAUGUCGGAUUAGCUAGUUGGUGGGGUAAAGGCCCACCAAGGCGACGAUCGGUAGAUGGGCUGAGAGGACGACCAGCCACACGGGGACUGAGACACGGCCCAGACUCCAACGGGAGGCAGCAGUGGGGAAUUUUGGACAAUGGGCGCAAGCCUGAUCCAGCAAUGCCGCGUGCAGGAAGAAGGCCUUCGGGUUGUAAACUGCUUUUGUACGGAACGAAACGGUCUGGGUUAAUACCCUGGGCUAAUGACGGUACCGUAAGAAUAAGCACCGGCUAACUACGUGCCAGCCGCCGCGGUAA
rnacentral:rRNA from 1 species